AAGUCGUAACAAGGUUUCCGUAGGUGAACCUGCGGAAGGAUCAUUAACACGUAUCCAACGUUAAACCCCCUGUGAACCUUCAUUGUAUGAGUUACAUCCACGUCAUAAACCGGCAAUCUCUGGUAAAUCAUCGCCGAACAGUUUUGAUUCAGAGACCUCUGGGAAGGGUGUACGGUAGUGCGAGGCAAUUGACCUGGCAUUCCUCUGCUUGUUAGUGUCUGAAAGUGUCACUAGCUAUGUACGGAUGGCAGUAACGAUCGCUGGAGGCCGACACGGCCGGCGACCAGGUCACUGGGCUACGGCCCCCCUGAUCACAACCUUUGCAUGACCCCUAAUGCUUGAACAACUGUUAACAAUGGAUAUCUUGGUUCUC
rnacentral:misc_RNA from 1 species